ensembl:lncRNA LINC02723 long intergenic non-protein coding RNA 2723
CUCUUGUCGCCGGUGCGUUGUGCCUGCAUCUUUGCUCCAGCUAAGCCAGCUCCUCUAGGCCUCUGGCUGCCCACCGCAGUGGGCUCUGGACUGGACUCUGGACCAUGCGUUGCUGGGUUUGCUGCUGUGAUGAUGGAGGUGCUGCUUUUGUCUGUCUGAUGUUUAUACUUUGUGGGUGUGGAGUGUGCUAGGAACAUCUCAUAUGUGCCAGGAACUGGCUCUUUGGAAAAGUCAGUCCAGGUUAGAAACAUAGACUGUGGCCGGGCAUAGUGGCUCACGCCUAUAAUCCCAGCACUUUGGGAAGCCAAGGUGGGCAGAUCUCUUGACUUGAGGUCAGGAGUUCGAGACCGGCCUGGCCAACAUUGUGAAACCCCAUCUCUACUAAAAAUACAAAAAUUAGCCAGGCAUGGUGGUGCAUGCCUGUAGUUCCAGCUAUCCGGGAGGCUGAGGCACGGGAAUUGCUUGAACCCUGGAGACAGAGGUUGCAGUGAGCCAAGAUCACGCCACUGCACUCCAGGACUGUAUCAAGUUCACUCCAAAAGUGGAGAAGAGCCAUCUGGACUGCAACUGCCACCAAGGGAAGCCACACUUCAGCCAAGUGGGGCCCUCCACCUAAGGCCGAGCAUGAACCGCAUCACACGGCCACCCCCAGUUGCAACAGAGACUGGGAAGGUGGAGUAUCAGAUGGAAAUCCUAUUGUCAGGACCCAGGCUGAGCAUGCUGCCUCCCCACACGAAACCAGACUUCUGUUAGCAAGAAAGAUACAAGAUCGCCGGCCACUAUGGUUAUUGACAUGUUGUGCUGUCAUCUUCCAAAAACUGACGAGGGCCAGGUGCGGUGGCACACACCUGUAAUCCCAACAUCCUGGAGGCUGAGGCAAGAGGAUCACUUGAGGCCAGGACUUUGAGACUAGCUUGGGCAACAUAGCGAGACCCCCAUCUCUACAAAAAAUAAAAAUAAAAAUUUUAAUAAAAAAAAUAGCCGA